CGACCUCUUUGAAAAUAUAGUCUCCUAAUAGCGAACUCCUAAUAGCUCUUCGUACAACAUGUUCGCCUGUUAACUCAAAAUAAUUUUUCGGACAUUUUAGAAACAUUAUUGCCGCAUUAUCGCGCGAUUACCUCUUUGCAAAAUAUAUUCUCCUAUUAAUUCAAACUCGAUUUUUCAAGCACAUUUGAAGGCUUGACCGCAUGAGACAUAACCUGUUUUAGUUUAAAUAACGCAAAAUAAUUUUGACGAGUUAAUGAUGCUAUUAUGAGAAAAAUUUACAACAAUAAAAAAUGCAAGGUCGAGCUUGUUACGUUGUUACAUGCAGUUACAUGGAGACGUUUACUAAGUGGAAUAAAAUAAACAGUUUUCUGCCACCAACUAUAAUAGUAACAAAAGAGUUGACGGAAGCAAUGGAAGAGUCUUGGUUGCAUCGCAUACUUUACAAUUCUGUUUUACAAUUGGAUGGAAAUUGAAAAUAUAGAACUUCAUCAUAGCAAAUAGCAGCCUUUAAUCAGAAAUUCAGCCCAGAAUCUCCUUUUCGUGCAACAUGAUAUGAAUAUCAAUGUCAUGUAUGGAAGAUGCAAUUCUUAUAAGGAUACUCAUAUGUAUGGAUUACAGAGGUGCAGAUGUAUCACGUAGACAUUUUUCUGAUUAUUACAAAAGUCAGUUUUUCCAUACAAAUUGUGCGAUCGCAUUAACAAAUUGGAUGCAUUGCUUUGAUCAAUUAAAGACAAAUUUCUGUCACAUGGAUUUAAAUUAUGUGGCUGACAGGAGAAAACGCUUGUUGUUAGGAAGCUAAAACAACAAACAGAGACAUAUAUACCUUGCAGGUGAUGAAUGUUGAAUAAUACUUUUGAUCACUUAUUCCAAUCUGAGAGAGUUGUCCGGAACUAUUGGAACCCAUAAUGUUCAUGUUCAAAAAACGAUCAUUAGGAAAUUCAGAAGAUACUUAUGAUGAAAAUUAUUUAAGGGAAACAAAACAUAGACGUGGAAUGAAGGAAUCUUUAAAACAUUUGUCAGAAAUGCGAAUGAAAAAGAGAUACUGCAUAAAGUUUAUCUAAUCGCGAUUUAGAGGCCCUUCUCGAAGAUUUUAUAGUCCUACAACAAUUAUUAGGUCUUGAUCAAGCCGUAUUACAAGAAGUAUUGAACAAUAUUCCAAUGAAGAUUUCAAGAGAAAAAUAUAGUUGCGUGCUUUUAAUCGGAUUGGAUUUGAAGUUUAAAGACAGAAUAAAAACGCUGAAUUUUCGAAAAAAAAAAUAAAAUUUAUACAUAUAUGA